CUAUGCAGAUCAUGUUUUUCUCCUAUGGUUAUUCACCAUGCCAAAUUUGGUUGUUGUAGGUUAUCGCAGCUUAAGACGCUUAUUAGGAAAUGUGGCAAUUACAGUCGGCAACCCAUGGCACGACAAGUCAUUCACCCCAACAAGCUUGAUAGAGUUGGUGAUGGUCUAAUGGAGCUGCAAAUACUCCGACACUAAUCAAGAACGCAAGAGAAAAAAGAGCUUUUUACAACUUUUUACAGCGACCCACCCCACCCCAACAGGAGGUGACGGGAAGGAUUUGCAGCGGCUAAAACAGCUUGGAAUGGCAACUUGUGGUUGGUUUGAGCAGCAGCAGCAGACGGUUCAACCGUAAAACAAGUUGACGACAAGCUCAAGUUCGCUCAUACAAACUCUGCAAUAUAGACCUUCUAAAUAAGUGAGCCUGGGCUAUCUAACAAAAGAAAAGAACACGAAUGCCAGAAAUCUGGAAAAAUGCAAGAGAUUUCUUCUUUAUCGUCUUUCUUUAAUGCAGUGGUCAAAUGUCCCACAGGUUUUAAUUUAUUCAAAUAUCACAGUAAUUUGUCAGCCUUAGGAGGUCAAAGUGUUCUAUAUUUGUUAAGAAAGGGCAAGCGAUUCUGAAUUGAAUUUUGUCAGAAUUGAAUAAUUUUCGUUGUCCAUGUAUACACUAUAAAAUCGCUAUUUUAGUGACACUGCGUUUAUUUAAAGUUCUGACUCCGUUUGUCCCGUCGUAAUUGUUGCGGUUUCCAUUGUUUUUUUUUCACAAACCUCUUGUCAAGUUUAAGAGAGAAAUUUAAAUGGACUUACUUUUGCAAGCGAACAUGGUCUUGGACUUUAAUCUAUGUGUACUUACAUUGUUUAAUAUCAAGGAAGGGGAUACCAUCGCGACAUAAUCAUUCUAGAAACAACUCGACUUAAUGAAAAACGGGAAAAUAUAGAGCGGUUUAUUAAAACAGUGGAGGCAAGCAAUAAAUAAAUUAAUUAAUACCCCCGAUAAGAGAUAUAUGUUUGGGAAAUAAACUAAGUGAACUAUAA